UGAGUAGGCUGUGGUAACUGGCUAAAAUUGGUAGGGCCAGUUGAGGGGAGAGGACAGCAAAGGGAAGUGAAAAGGCAAUGGCAUUAUGCCAUUGCCUUUGAUGUCGGG
rfam:Salmonella enterica subsp. enterica serovar Enteritidis str. LA5, WGS project CAGR02000000 data, contig: Scaffold18-Contig1